rnacentral:misc_RNA from 1 species
AUAGAAGUUAAAUAUCCGAAGAGAAUAAUGGCGCCCCCCAUAGCAUUUAGAGGUUCUGAUGGUGUUUGGAUGGUGAAUGGUCCUCCAGAUCUGGGAACUAGACCUAAUUUUCCAGAGGAUAAAAGUAAAUGGUGCAAGGUGAUUGCAUUCAGUUCAGAUGGUUCUCUGAUCAGCUGGUGCAAUGGAGAAAAUAAGUGUAUUGUGUUAAAAUCCUUGCCACCUUUUGCAGAACUUUAAUUGUAAGGACGUCUGAUUACAAACAAGUUGCUCAAAUUGACAAAGGCAAGGUCAACUGUCUGAAGUUCUCCCCUAAAGGAACAAUACUAGCACUCUGGGAAAACUACACAGUGGACAGAGAAACAAAUCAAGGAAACCCAAAUCUCCAUCUAUUUUCUGUACAGAGCGGAGAAAUCAUCAAAAGUCUCAUCCAGAAAAAACAGAGUAAUUGGGACCCCAAGUGGACAGAUGAUGAGGGGAUCUGCUGUAGAAAUGUCAAUAACGAACUGCAUUUCUUUGAGGGAAAUGAAUUUGACACAAUUAAAACAAAGUUGCACAUGCAGAAAAUUUCCACCUUUGCCCUCGCAAGUAGUGGACCCCCUUAUCAUAUUGCUGGUUAUGUACCAGGGUCAAAGGGCCAGCCAUCUUUUGUAAGAAUUUACAAAUACCCAAACUUUGGAGGUCCCCAGGCAGCCCUGGCUAACAAGAGCUUCUUCAAGGCUGAUGAUGUCCAGAUGAAGUGGAACAAAACAGGAACCGCCUUGCUUGUCCUGACCUCCACCGAGUCCUCUGAUAAGAGUUACUAUGGCGACCAAGGCCUUCACUUUAUGGCGAUCAAUGGAGAAUGCAGCCUGGUGAAUCUCUCAAAGAAUGGUCCUAUAUACCACAUAGAAUGGAGUCCCCGUGCCACAGAAUUCGUUGUAGUUUAUGGAUUUAUGCCUGCCAAAGUGAGUUUAUUCAACAUGAAAGCAGAACCCAUCUUUGACUUUGGAACUGGCCCCAGGAAUUUUGCUUACUUCAAUCCACAUGGAAAUAUUUUGUGUUUGGCUGGUUUUGGGAAUCUGCGUGGAAACUUGGAAUUCUGGGAUAUGAGGACCAAGAAGUUAACAGCACAAACUCAGUCACCAGACACAACCAGUUUUGAGUGGUGUCCAGACGGGCAGCACAUCCUCACCGCAACCACUGCUCCUAGGCUACGUGUAGCUAACGGGUAUCGAAUCUGGCAUUGCUCUGGGAAUAUGUUGCAGCAAGUAAUGGUGGACAAAGAAAAGGAAUUAUGGGAAGCGGUGUGGCAGCCUGCAGCAGAAGGGGUGUACCCUACCCCCGUCAUUACGGCCAGCAGCGUAACAGCAGUAGCAGCGGCAGCCCAGCCACAGCCAGAACAAAAAGCUCAAGCAUAUCGUCCUCCACAAGCAAGAGGAACAUCAGCAUCUAUAAAACUUCAUGAGUAUGAAGGCCCGUCCGAUCCAAACAAGAAAGUCUCACAAGAUCCUAAUAAACCACUUACUAAAAAUCAAAAAAAGAGAGAGGCAAAGAAAGCUAAAGGGCCACAGGAAGGACAGGCGAGAGCUGAACCAGCGCCAUCAUCAGGUUACAACGCCUCAGAACCAGUAGCGUUUACAUCAUCAGGAGACCCAGAGAAGGACAAGAAAAUCAAAAAUCUCAGAAAGAAAAUACAACAAAUAGAAAAAUUAAAAGAACAGCAGAAAUCAGGAAAACAGCUUGAAUUGAAUCAGAUUGAGAAAUUAAAAACUGAAGGUUCAUUACUGCAAGAGUUAGCUGCCCUUGAGAUCAGCUGAUACAAAUUUGUGUACUAGUUGUUUGAAGACAGAGCAAGAUUGGUGUGUACUCAAAGAUUUUUUGAACAGGAUGAUAACGUUGUGAUCACUGAUCAGUGAGAUUGAAAUACACCAGGUCUCUGUGAUAUUUCAUUUUUUCUUUAAUUUUCUCAAUUCGAUUUUUCUUACACACAGUUUGUGUAAUGAAUUUGUUUUAAUAUUUAAUUAGGAUAUUUUUGUUUUGUAUUAUUUUGUGAUCCAGUGCUUUGUUUGAAGAAAGUUGUGUUAUCAACAUACAAUAAGUAAACAUUGUUAUGAAAUAAAGGGACGUUAUUUGUACAGAU